GGGGGUGUAGCUCAGUGAUAGAGCACUUGCCUAGCAUGCAUGAAAUCCUGGAUCCCCUCCCUAUCACCUCCC
rnacentral:tRNA from 1 species